GACUUCCAGCUGGAGCAGCCCAGCCAGCCUGCGCGCUCACUCGCUUGCUUGCGCUGGGCUUCAGGGCGCCCGGGUGAGUUUUUUUCUCUCCCUCUCGUUUUUUUUUUUUUCCCAGGCUCUCGCGGGUUUCCCCUGCCAGGGAAUCCACUCGCUGUAGUUUUCUAGGGCUCUGGUCCCAGUCCUUUCUGAAGCGCGCUUGCAGGCUGUCUUCCUCAGUCGCCCUCUCCCUGGGUGCUGUUUUGCUGGGCAGCAUCCCAUGCUAGGCUCGGCAGACAUUCUGGCGGUUGGGUUCGGCCCUUACAGCGCUAACACCUGCAGAGUCGAGGCUCCUGCCAAAAGGCAGAAAGCAAAGGAGGAAAAAAUUCAUUGUCAUAAUAGCGAAAAUGAUAAACCUCAGCUGUUUAAGAGAAGAAUGUCUGAGUAGCUGUUGAUUAUCUCCCAUAAUCACAAAACAACUUUUUUUUAAAAAGAAUUUGCACUGUCUGUUAAAACGCGGUCAUUGUUUUGCUUUCAAAUCGAACUUCACGACAGUUAGCAACUUCAAGAACGCUUCCAAAUGGAUAAAUCUUUCCAGAAGGUUUUUCUGUGGACCUAAAUUUUCAUUUCUCUGGGAUAAAUGUCCAGGAGUGUGAUUGCUGGGUCAUAUGGUGUCACAUGCCAUUCUUCUGAUUUUCAUGAAUAUCCUCUAAAAGGCAGCUAAGCACUCGCUGUCUUCUUCCUUUUGCCUCAUCAAGCACGGGGGACGCUGGAAGGAAGAGUAUUUGUACAGUUGAGCCGAAAUGCCUGUUCUAACAAAGAGAGCCUGGUGUAUUCAGCUGGAACUCGUCAGCAUUUCAAGGGAAAGAAGUCACUCACUAAUUAAUGCUGGAGGUGGUGGGACUGCCAAGAUGAAUAGACAUAAUCCUCGAUCUAACCACUUCACAGUUUAUCAUCGGAGUCAAGUUUGCAGAUAAACAAUUGCCAUGCAACUUUCAAGCUCACUUCUCAGCUACCUAGGGCAAAAGCUGCUGCCAGAGUUCUAACAUUCAUAUGUUUGCAUAUUGUUAUGGGUUGCAAUUUGGAGAAGAAAAGAGGGCUGUGAUCUUCCUUUCAAAAGAAACUCCUUGGAAGCACCAC
ensembl:lncRNA LNC-LBCS lncRNA bladder and prostate cancer suppressor, hnRNPK interacting